rnacentral:rRNA from 1 species
CCCUAUUAUAUUUAUAAUUAAUAUUUUAUGAGGUAGUAAAUGUUAAAUUCAGGAAACUUAAAGAAUUUGGCGGUGUUUAUUCUUAUUAGAGGAAUAUGUUUUAUAAAUGAUAACCCACAAGAAUCUUACUUAUUUUAAUAAUUUUGUAUAUCUCCGUCUCAAAAGAUUUUUUAAAAAUAUAUUUUAAAUAGUCAAGAAAAGUUAAGUCAGGUCAAGGUGCAGAUUAUAAAUAAGGAAAAAUGUAUUACAAUAAAAUUAUUUUUGGAUUUAUUAUGUAUUAUAAUAAAUGAAAUUGGAUUUAAUAGUAAAUUUAUUUAUAAUAUAAUAUG